UAUUUUUUAUGGAUACACAGAUUUGGUAUUCUGUUUUCUGUGCAAUAUUUGGUGGACUUUAUGGAGUUUUGCAUCACCUUGGUUGAUUCACCUUUCUUGUUGAAAAUAGAUAAGAACCCUAGGAAUGCUGAGAAGUCGAUUUAACUCCUUGCCUUCAGCAUUUAAUGUCUGUCUGAACCCACCUUCGUCCAAACGCGGUAAAAAGAAAAGAAAAGGUCUCCUCAGCAAUAUAUUUCAAA
rnacentral:lncRNA from 1 species